rnacentral:rRNA from 1 species
GCCAGACUCCUACGGGAGGCAGCAGUGGGGAAUAUUGCACAAUGGGGGGAACCCUGAUGCAGCGACGCCGCGUGGGCGAGGAAGUAUUUCGGUAUGUAAAGCCCUAUCGGCAGGGAAGAAGAAAUGACGGUACCUGAAUAAGAAGCACCGGCUAAAUAAGUGCCAGCAGCCGCGGGAAUACGGAGGGGGCGAGCGUUAAUCGGAAUUACUUGGCGUAAAGCGCUCGUAGGCGGUAUGUCAAGUCAAGGGUGAAAUCCCCGCGCUCAACGUGGGAACUGCCUUUGAAACUGGCAAACUGGAGUGUGUGAGAGGAUAGUGGAAUUCCGGGUGUAGGAGUGAAAUCCGUAGAUAUCUGGAGGAACAUCAGUGGCGAAGGCGACUAUCUGGCACAUAACUGACGCUGAGGAGCGAAAGCGUGGGUAGCAAACAGGAUUAGAUACCCGCGUA